UACGUAGGGGGCAAGCGUUGUCCGGAAUUAUUGGGCGUAAAGAGCGCGUAGGCGGUCCGAUAAGUCGGCUGUGAAAGUCAGGGGCUCAACCCUUGGAAGCCGGCCGAUACUGUCGGACUAGAGUCCGGAAGAGGCGAGUGGAAUUCCCGGUGUAGCGGUGAAAUGCGCAGAUAUCGGGAGGAACACCAAUGGCGAAGGCAGCUCGCUGGGACGUGGCUGACGCUGAGACGCGAAAGCCAGGGGAGCAAACGGG
rnacentral:rRNA from 1 species